rfam:Angiostrongylus costaricensis strain Costa Rica genome assembly, scaffold: ACOC_scaffold0001133
UCCUCGGUUGUAUAGUUGUUAGUAUCCGCGCCUGUCACAUGCGAGACCCGGGUUCAAUUCCCGGCCGGGGAA